rfam:Bifidobacterium indicum LMG 11587 = DSM 20214, complete genome.
CCGGUUCCGGUUCACGUUGACCAUAGGGGUCGGCGACCCGGUGCC